UUCCAUUAUAUAUCGUAAAUCGUUCACAAUCUUAAUUUUUUCCUUUCCUAACAGGUAACAGCAUCGGGUGGCGGCGACGGUGGCAGUGAAUCUCGAAUUCCUUCCUUGGUCGACCAGCAGUCCAAUGCAUAACGCACGCCUUCGUCAGAUUCUUCUAGUGAACUACCUGCGAAAGACGCGGUACAUGGAAUUCGGUAAAUGCUACGUUCAGCUUUUCCCCAAAUCUACGAAUGUUCAUUUCUUUAUUCUCAAAAAUCAACCCAAACGAUUCGACGGAUCAAGGCCUGGAUCCGGAAGGCGCUAGGUAUACACAAAUCUGCUUCUAUUUGGUAUUUUUUUGGGAAUAAAUAGUAAAUCUUGUCUCCGAAUUGAUGUGUUUCUUUUUAUAUAAGAUCACAGACGUCGAUUGAGGUGUUUGUGCAAUCUUUUAGAUGUGUUUGUAGAUUCAUUUUUUUAUCAGUGCGAGAACACAAGGCAAAAUUAAUUUCCAAAUAGUCUUUGAUUUGUGAGUUGUAAAACUUUUGGUUUUUUGUCUCUCCAAACCUCUCCCCCCAUUACACAUUGAAUCAACAAUCAAUCAAUCUUUUUUUUUUUUUUUUUAUAACUUAGAUUACCUCUCCACAGAUAUAGAGCUUCAGAGCAAGAUUCAAACCCUAAUAGUGAUUCCCAAAGUCUUUGAAUUUUAAAUACAGUAAAACCAAGAUGGGUGUGAAUUAUAUGGUUUAUAGGGUAAAUGCAGUAACACCAAGUUGUGAACAUUUUUUGCUACCCUAAAUCCUAGCAUGAUUGAUGUAAAGAAAUGGAAAAGGGAUGCAUAAAGGAGAGAAAAUCCUAAAUCAUUAAUUGUGGUGGUUCAACACCAGCUUAGGCAGGCAGUGACUAUUAUAAAAAAGAGCAUUUUUCCAGUCAAACAAGCACAGAUAAAUUCAAAAGAAAAUAAUAAAUUAUAUGUGGUUGAAAAAAAAGGAUCUUUACUUUUUUUCUGUAUUUUAAAUUAUAUGUGUGGUUGAAAAAAAUGAUCUUUACUUUUUUCUGUAUUUUUUAUUUUUUUUACAGCUAUUGAUAUUUCCAACAAACAAAGAACUCAUUAACAAUUUCACACACUUACCCCAA
rnacentral:lncRNA from 1 species